rnacentral:lncRNA from 1 species
UGAAGCCGUCAACUCAGCUGACUCUACUAUCGUGCAAUAUGUGACAACUAGUGAUGUUUCAAGUGUUAUCAAAUCGCGUAUCCUAAGUGAGUGGCAAAACCGGUGGCAAUUUUCAGUGUCCAAUCUUUGGAAUAUUAAACCAAACAUUAAACCAUGGACAUGUUUCCCCACCAAAAGAAGGGAUCAAGUGACAAUAACCCGCCUUAGGUUAGGUCACACCAGUGCCACACACAAGUUCUUAAUAACAAAAGAACCUGAACCGAAAUGUGAUCAGUGUAACGUUAAACUCUCGGUAAAACAUAUAAUUGUAGACUGUCCAGUUUUCUCCACAGCAAGAA